rnacentral:misc_RNA from 1 species
AACUUUCGACAACGGAUCACUUGGCUCUCGCAUCGAUGAAGAACGCAGCGAAAUGCGAUAAGUAAUGUGAAUUGCAGAAUUCAACGAAUCAUCGAAUCUUUGAACGCAUAUUGCGCCCAUUAGUAUUCUAGUGGGCAUGCCUGUUCGAGCGUCAUUUCAACCCUCAAGCCCUGGCUGCUUGGUGAUGGGGUAGUUUCUGCAGCGUUCUGCUGUAGGCCCUGAAAAUCUUUGGCGGGCAUGUUGUGAACCCGAGCGUAGUAAAAUCAUUCUCGCUUAGGGGCACAUGGCAUGUUUUCUAGCCAUUAAACCCAUUAUAAUUUUAGAAAGUUGACCUCGGAUCAGGUAGGAAUACCCGCUGAACUUAAGCAUAUCAAUAAGCGGAGGCU